AUGCUAAUUAACUUUAUUCUAGUUUGGCAGCCGCCCAACAAAUCCAUUGUUUUAGCAACAAAAAUUACCCUCUUCCUAUGGAAAAAAAUAUAUUCUUUCUGGUAAAAAAAAGAGAGCUAACACUAGAAAAAAUAUUCUUCCUUUGGUGAAAUCACCAGGUAACUUACGACGGGCAUUCGCCUUCACCAUUUUAAUUAACUGAAAAAAAAAUCCGAGUUCAGUAAACUGAUCUAUUUACAGGACAGAGCAAACUAACCAUUUCACAGCGUCUUAUCAAAGCCUUCUAGAAGGAAAAGCCUCUCUAAAAAUCAAAGCACAGUUACCGCAGACUGAGCAUUGCUUGCUGGAGUACAGCACACGGAGGACAAUUACCCUGAUUUAUCACAUCAGCCUUGGAGCAGGUUUGGGACAGAGAAAAUUAAGAGUGGGUAAAAGAUUGUGUGCAU
rnacentral:lncRNA from 1 species